UACGUAGGGGGCAAGCGUUGUCCGGAAUCAUUGGGCGUAAAGAGCGUGUAGGCGGCUUGGUAAGUCCGCUGUGAAAGUCCAGGGCUCAACCCUGGAAAGCCGGUGGAAACUGUCAAGCUUGAGUCCGGAAGAGGCGAGUGGAAUUCCUGGUGUAGCGGUGAAAUGCGCAGAUAUCAGGAGGAACACCAAUAGCGAAGGCAGCUCGCUGGGACGUUACUGACACUGAGGCGCGAAAGCGUGGGGAGCGAACAGG
rnacentral:rRNA from 1 species